rnacentral:lncRNA from 12 species
CUCCAUGUCAUCCAGCAAUCCCUUUUCCUUUCUCCAGAUAUGGAAGGAGAGGCUGUGAUGAUGCCUCCGAUUCCCAGCAGAAGCAGUGUCUCUGUUCCAGCCUCUGCUGCAGGAAGGGAGGAGAUGCCAGGCACAGUCACAGGAGAUUUGGAUCGUGACUUGGACUAUUUAGAGUUCCUGGUGAAUGACAUUUCGAAGAUCUUGGACAAGGCUCGAGGCAAGUACUGAAUUUCCCUUGUUACUGACAGAAUAAUGCCAAGCUGGCAAAAGCUCACUCAUGAAGUUCUCGUUUAUGCCAAGUCAAGGUUGAUGGAUUCUAGAAACCUUGCCCUACUCCAUUCUGGAGCCUCCCCCCCCCCCCCCCCCCCCCCCCCCCCC